AUCAAUUGUCUGCAGAACUUUUAGUGUUUAGGCCCACAGAGAAUUGUACACAAGGCCGCCCAAAUGGCAUUUACACAAUAAAGAAUUCCGGAACGUCGCCAUUUGAGGCUCCAUGCAAUUCGUCUGGUUGGAUGACUAUUCAAAGGCGGCAAGAUGGAUCUGUUAGCUUUGCAAGAAACUGGAACGAAUAUAAAAAUGGAUUUGGAGACUUAAAGACUGAAUUCUUCAUCGGGCUGGAGAAACUACAUCAGCUAACUAAGAAACGACACGAACUGUACAUAAAACUUGAGCAUAAGGGAACCGUUAUUUUCGCUCAUUAUGAUAAUUUUAAAGUUGGAAGUGAGCAGGAACAAUACGAGCUUAAAGCGCUGGGGAAAUAUUCAGGGACAGCGGGAGACUCCCUAAGAUAUGAAGAGAAUAUGAAGUUCAGCACUAUUGAUCGGGAUAAUGACAGUACUUGCGCUCAAAGAUAUUCAGGUGGUUGGUGGUUUAAAAAUUGUUUUUACAGUCAUCUUAAUGGAAAAUACUUUAAGGAUGGAAUUUCACCGGACAGCAUGGGAAUUAAUUGGUAUGCAUGGAAAAAUGACUAUACGAUAUCUUUUACCUUUGUUGAAAUGAUGAUACGGCCAAUUGCGUAAAAUUGUAAAUUUGACUGAUUCCAAUAUAUAAAUAAAUUUACCAAAUAUUUAAAAAUCAUAUUUUAAAAAUA